ensembl:lncRNA
UGGGAAUCAACUAGAGAAAUGUUUCCUGUUAGUUUGUGAAAAAAUCCUGUAAUCAAUUACAUAACUGGAAUUGUCAAUUCAUUUUUUCAAUUUAGGUGAGGUGUACACAUCUGUUUGAGGAGGAAACCCCAUACAAUAUUUGCCACAGAUGUUAAGUGCUUUUCACAGCUUUAAAAUAUAGCAGCUGCAAGAAAGCCAAUACAGUUAGUGUUUCACAUGAAACAUUUGAAGGCCCAAUGACCAUUUUCUGAAUUCAAUACAAAAAGAUUACAAGGCUCAAUAAAGGAGGCACUGAUGUUCGACUGACAUGACUCAGUUGAAGUAGCCACAAAAUUGAGUGAAGUACAUUUUUUUAUAUUUUACAUAAAACAUUUACCAAGCCAAUUUAAAAACUUUAUUGUACUUUCCAAGUUGUCAUGUCCGUAAUAAUCAUUUGCAGUCAAUUGGAUAAAUAGAAUGAAAUAAUUUGCUUCAGUGAAACAAUGACCCACUCAAGCUGCUCCAUGUUAGUGUUAAAGGUUAAGAAAAUAAACCCAUGAGAUUUAAGUUUUAACAUCCCAAAGGCUGCAAAGACCUUGGCCCAAAGGAGCCCUUUCAUCUUGUAAAUAAGUUGAUUCAACUACAAAUUUGUGCAUAUUGCAUUUUAUUUCUCUAACCAGCUACCAGUUGAAGUCAAUGAGGCCCAUCAGCUAUGGUAAGUAGCAGUUAACAUGAUGACCAGGAAAACCCAAGCAGUUAUCCCUUCACACAGACUCCUUAGUUGGAGCAAGAUCGUCCUUUAUUUCGAAUAUUUUGAUUGCUCCCACUUGUAGCGAACUGGGGCUGAGGCUUAGAUGGGUAGUCUGUGGACUGGUGCGGAGGCUGAGACUUGUACUGGUAGCCCUCGGGCUGCAGAACCUGGUGCGGAGGCUUAGAAGGGUGGGCCGGGCCCGGGAGCUGAUGGUGAGGCUUAGAAGGGUGGGCCGGGCCCGGGAGCUGAUGGUGAGGCUGAGAAGGGUGGGCCGGGCCCGGGAGCUGAUGGUGAGGCUGAGAAGGGUGGGCCGGGCCCGGGAGCUGAUGGUGAGGCUGAGAAGGGUGGGCCGGGCCCGGGAGCUGAUGGUGAGGCUGAGAAGGGUAGGCCGCGACCGGGGGCUGAGGCUCAGGCUGAGAAGGGUAGGCCGCGACGGGGGGCAGAGGCUUCGACGGGUAACCCUGGACCUGGGGUUGGGGCAGAGGCUUCGACGGGUAACCCUGGACCUGGGGUUGGGGCAGAGGCUUCGACGGGUAACCCUGGACCUGGGGUUGGGGCAGAGGCUUCGACGGGUAACCCUGGACCUGGGGUUGGGGCAGAGGCUUCGACGGGUAACCCUGGACCUGGGGUUGGGGCAGAGGCUUUGACGGGUAACCCUGGACCUGGGGUUGGGGCAGAGGCUUCGACGGGUAACCCUGGACCUGGGGUUGGGGCUGAGGCUUCGACGGGUAACCCGGAACCUGCGGUUGCAAAACCUGGGGCUGAGGACCAGCAGGGUAGCCCAGAAACUGUUUAAUUGCAGUGGGGGGAUAUUCCAGGAACUUGGGCAGCGGGACCUGAGGGAGUAGACCAAGUGGAGAGCCCUGGAACUGGUGUUGCCGGACCUGGGGUUGCGGGACCUGAAUCUGAGGCUUGGACUGGUGCUGAAGGACUUGUUGUGGAGGGACCUGGGGCUGAGGCUUGGAUGGGUAACCUGGGACCUGGGAAUGUGAGACCUGUGAAGGUGGCCUGGCCUGGUAGCCUGAUAACUGGUGCUGCAAGACCUGGGGACGAGGCUCAUUAGGGUAUCCCAGGAACUGGUUCAUCGCCCCGGGGGGAUAUGUGGGAAAGUUGGGGGGCGGGAGGAUCCCAGGUGGAUAGUCGGGGAACUGGUGCUGUGGGAACUGGUGCUCCAGAACCUGUUGCUGGAUUUGGUUCUGAGCCCUUGACAGGUUUUCCAGGACCUGGGGCUGCUGCAGCUCCUGGGGCUGUGGCCCGGGUGGAUAACCUAGGAACUGGGGUGGAGGGAACUGGUGGUCCUGGACCAAAGUCUGAUGCUUAGACAGGGAGCCUGGGAAUUGUGUCUGCGCAACAUGGGGUUGCAGCCCGGGUGGAUAGUCCAGGAACUGGUGUGGCCUGGAUGUGUAUUCCAGGCCCUGGGGUUGUGGGACAUGGGGAUGCUGGAUCUGUGUCUCAAGCUCUGACGGGUACCCCGGAAACUGAGGCAUCGAGACCUGAGGGUGCGGUUCGGGUGGAUAGGCCAAGAAGUGGUGCUGCAGGACCUGGUGCUGAAGCUUGGACAGGUAGCCAGGGAGUUGCUGCUGCGGCACCUGGUGCUGGGCGUGAGUCUGUGGCUUGGGCAGGGAGCCCAGGAACUGGGGCUGUAGGACCUGGGUGUGGGGCCCUGGCAAAUACACCUGGAGCCGGGGCUGCCACUGUAUGAAAUCGGGGUGCAGACCGGGUGCAUAGCCAAGGAGAUUGGGCUGUGGGUAGCCGGGGCCCUGGGACUGGUAGCCGGGGCCCUGGGACUGGUAGCCGGGGCCCUGGGACUGGUAGCCGGGGCCCUGGGACUGGUAGCCGGGGCCCUGGGACUGGUAGCCGGGGCCCUGGGACUGGUAGCUCAUGUCCCAAAUGAUAGGCCCAGAGUCCUGAUAGGAAGCUGUUGAUGAAUCACACAAGGUCAACAAUCACCUCAUUGUAAGAAAUAAAGUGAAUACAACAUGUUGUAACAGCACUUCUUGAAUGCAUCAACUCAAGAGAAAAG